rnacentral:rRNA from 1 species
ACAGAGAGCUUGCUCUCGGGUGACGAGCGGCGGACGGGUGAGUAAUGUCUGGGAAACUGCCUGAUGGAGGGGGAUAACUACUGGAAACGGUAGCUAAUACCGCAUAACGUCGCAAGACCAAAGUGGGGGACCUUCGGGCCUCAUGCCAUCAGAUGUGCCCAGAUGGGAUUAGCUAGUAGGUGGGGUAACGGCUCACCUAGGCGACGAUCCCUAGCUGGUCUGAGAGGAUGACCAGCCACACUGGAACUGAGACACGGUCCAGACUCCUACGGGAGGCAGCAGUGGGGAAUAUUGCACAAUGGGCGCAAGCCUGAUGCAGCCAUGCCGCGUGUGUGAAGAAGGCCUUCGGGUUGUAAAGCACUUUCAGCGGGGAGGAAGGCGGUGAGGUUAAUAACCUCAUCGAUUGACGUUACCCGCAGAAGAAGCACCGGCUAACUCCGUGCCAGCAGCCGCGGUAAUACGGAGGGUGCAAGCGUUAAUCGGAAUUACUGGGCGUAAAGCGCACGCAGGCGGUCUGUCAAGUCGGAUGUGAAAUCCCCGGGCUCAACCUGGGAACUGCAUUCGAAACUGGCAGGCUAGAGUCUUGUAGAGGGGGGUAGAAUUCCAGGUGUAGCGGUGAAAUGCGUAGAGAUCUGGAGGAAUACCGGUGGCGAAGGCGGCCCCCUGGACAAAGACUGACGCUCAGGUGCGAAAGCGUGGGGAGCAAACAGGAUUAGAUACCCUGGUAGUCCACGCUGUAAACGAUGUCGAUUUGGAGGUUGUGCCCUUGAGGCGUGGCUUCCGGAGCUAACGCGUUAAAUCGACCGCCUGGGGAGUACGGCCGCAAGGUUAAAACUCAAAUGAAUUGACGGGGGCCCGCACAAGCGGUGGAGCAUGUGGUUUAAUUCGAUGCAACGCGAAGAACCUUACCUGGUCUUGACAUCCACAGAACUUUCCAGAGAUGGAUUGGUGCCUUCGGGAACUGUGAGACAGGUGCUGCAUGGCUGUCGUCAGCUCGUGUUGUGAAAUGUUGGGUUAAGUCCCGCAACGAGCGCAACCCUUAUCCUUUGUUGCCAGCGGUCCGGCCGGGAACUCAAAGGAGACUGCCAGUGAUAAACUGGAGGAAGGUGGGGAUGACGUCAAGUCAUCAUGGCCCUUACGACCAGGGCUACACACGUGCUACAAUGGCAUAUACAAAGAGAAGCGACCUCGCGAGAGCAAGCGGACCUCAUAAAGUAUGUCGUAGUCCGGAUUGGAGUCUGCAACUCGACUCCAUGAAGUCGGAAUCGCUAGUAAUCGUAGAUCAGAAUGCUACGGUGAAUACGUUCCCGGGCCUUGUACACACCGCCCGUCACACCAUGGGAGUGGGUUGCAAAAGAAGUAGGUAGCUUAACCUUCGGGAGGGCGCUUACCACUUUGUGAUUCAUGACUGGGGUGAAGU